UACGAAGGGUGCAAGCGUUAAUCGGAAUUACUGGGCGUAAAGGGCGCGUAGGCGGCCGAUCAAGUCAGAUGUGAAGUCCUGGGCUUAACCUGGGGACUGCAUUUGAUACUGAUUGGCUUGAAUGCAGGAGAGGAUAGCGGAAUUCCCAGUGUAGAGGUGAAAUUCGUAGAUAUUGGGAAGAACACCGGUGGCGAAGGCGGCUAUCUGGACUGUGAUUGACGCUGAGGCGCGAAAGCCGUGGGGGAGCAAACAGG
rnacentral:rRNA from 1 species